rnacentral:lncRNA from 1 species
UAAUAUUAUAGUUAGUUUCUCUGACUUUUAUUAGAAAUAUUAAUCAAAUACAUAUUAUUAAAAGAUUAUAUAUAAAUAUACUAAUAUAUCUGAAUUAAUCGGUUUCUUUGGUUUAUUCGGUUUGAUCGCUUAAUAUACUUAACCAUCUAUCUAUCUAUCUAUACUAAUAAUGGCGAAGUAAUUUUUUGGAAUCGAGCUCUCACGUUAAAAGUUAGAGCGGUUAAUAUCGUUUAUACCCUUAAUGAAUCAAUUAUAUAAAUUAGUCAAAAAAAAAAAAAAUUUUAAAUUUAUCUGAUUAUUAUUACUAUUAUUUGCGAAGUAAAUUUUUGGAAUCGAGCUCUCAUGUUAAAAGUUAGAGCAGUUAAUAUUGUUUAUACCCUUAAUGAAUCAAUUAUAUAAAUUAGUCAAAAAUAAAAAAAGAAUUUUAAAUUUAGCUGAUUAAAUAAAUGAUUCAAAUUAAUAAUGGAGUUCUAAUCACAAAUCUCUUUGAAUCUUCUCUCCAACUCUACUAAAAUCCUAGAAAACCUUUUGCUGUGAAAAUAAGAAAACAAGAAAGCACACUUUGCCUUUAACACUUUGGUAAGCUAUAAAUAUUAGGUUAAAACUCAUCAGGGAUUUUAAACAAAAAAACAAAAAAACAAAAAAACUCAUCAGGGUUAAUCAUGCAAAUUGGUGAAGUCUUGGGCUAUAAGUCGGCUGGAACCAAACAUGCUUUUGCGCGCUUCGCUGUCGAUCGAUGUCACAAGAUGUGCAUCGAUCGAUUAUUGUCUCUGAAUGUCGACCAUUGGUCUUGCUUGAUGGUGAGCUCGGAUGCUCUCUCUAAUUAUCUCCAAAAUGUUCCAAAAUCAUUAUUUUCUUCCAAAUCACUCAUGAUCCUAUAAAUAUAUUAAAUAGACUCUAAAACAUAAUAAUUAGUUAUUAAAACACUUACAAACCAUGCCUAAAAGUGGAUAAAAUCCAUGGUCUAUC